rnacentral:rRNA from 1 species
GAGUAGGGCGGGACACGUGGUAUCCUGUCUGAAUAUGGGGGGACCAUCCUCCAAGGCUAAAUACUCCUGACUGACCGAUAGUGAACCAGUACCGUGAGGGAAAGGCGAAAAGAACCCCGGCGAGGGGAGUGAAAAAGAACCUGAAACCGUGUACGUACAAGCAGUGGGAGCACCUUCGGGUGUGACUGCGUACCUUUUGUAUAAUGGGUCAGCGACUUAUAUUCUGUAGCAAGGUUAACCGUAUAGGGGAGCCGCAGGGAAACCGAGUCUUAACUGGGCGUUAAGUUGCAGGGUAUAGACCCGAAACCCGGUGAUCUAGCCAUGGGCAGGUUGAAGGUUGGGUAACACUAACUGGAGGACCGAACCGACUAAUGUUGAAAAAUUAGCGGAUGACUUGUGGCUGGGGGUGAAAGGCCAAUCAAACCGGGAGAUAGCUGGUUCUCCCCGAAAGCUAUUUAGGUAGCGCCUCGUGAAYUCAUCUUCGGGGGUAGAGCACUGUUUCGGCUAGGGGGUCAUCCCGACUUACCAACCCGAUGCAAACUACGAAUACCGAAGAAUGUUAUCACGGGAGACACACGGCGGGUGCUAACGUCCGUCGUGAAGAGGGAAACAACCCAGACCGCCAGCUAAGGUCCCAAAGUCAUGGUUAAGUGGGAAACGAUGUGGGAAGGCACAGACAGCCAGGAUGUUGGCUUAGAAGCAGCCAUCAUUUAAAGAAAGCGUAAUAGCUCACUGGUCGAGUCGGCCUGCGCGGAAGAUGUAACGGGGCUAAACCAUGCACCGAAGCUGCGGCAGCGACACUAUGUGUUGUUGGGUAGGGGAGCGUUCUGUAAGCCUGCGAAGGUGWSCUGUGAGGSWUGCUGGAGGUAUCAGAAGUGCGAAUGCUGACAUAAGUAACGAUAAAGCGGGUGAAAAGCCCGCUCGCCGGAAGACCAAGGGUUCCUGUCCAACGUUAAUCGGGGCAGGGUGAGUCGACCCCUAAGGCGAGGCCGAAAGGCGUAGUCGAUGGGAAACAGGUUAAUAUUCCUGUACUUGGUGUUACUGCGAAGGGGGGACGGAGAAGGCUAUGUUAGCCGGGCGACGGUUGUCCCGGUUUAAGCAUGUAGGCUGGUURUCCAGGCAAAUCCGGAUAAUCAAGGCUGAGGUGUGAUGACGAGGCACUACGGUGCUGAAGUAACAAAUGCCCUGCUUCCAGGAAAAGCCUCUAAGCAUCAGGUAACAUYAAAUCGUACCCCAAACCGACACAGGUGGUCAGGUAGAGAAUACCAAGGCGCUUGAGAGAACUCGGGUGAAGGAACUAGGCAAAAUGGUGCCGUAACUUCGGGAGAAGGCACGCUGGUGUGUAGGUGAAGUCCCUGCGGAUGGAGCUGAGACCAGUCGAAGAUACCAGCUGGCUGCAACUGUUUAUUAAAAACACAGCACUGUGCAAACACGAAAGUGGACGUAUACGGUGUGACGCCUGCCCGGUGCCGGAAGGUUAAUUGAUGGGGUUAUCCGUAAGGAGAAGCUCUUGAUCGAAGCCCCGGUAAACGGCGGCCGUAACUAUAACGGUCCUAAGGUAGCGAAAUUCCUUGUCGGGUAAGUUCCGACCUGCACGAAUGGCGUAAUGAUGGCCAGGCUGUCUCCACCCGAGACUCAGUGAAAUUGAACUCGCUGUGAAGAUGCAGUGUACCCGCGGCAAGACGGAAAGACCCCGUGAACCUUUACUAUAGCUUGACACUGAACAUUGAGCCUUGAUGUGUAGGAUAGGUGGGAGGCUUUGAAGCGUGGACGCCAGUCUGCGUGGAGCCAACCUUGAAAUACCACCCUUUAAUGUUUGAUGUUCUAACGUUGGCCCCUUACCGGGGUUGCGGACAGUGUCUGGUGGGUAGUUUGACUGGGGCGGUCUCCUCCCAAAGCGUAACGGAGGAGCACGAAGGUUAGCUAAUCCUGGUCGGACAUCAGGAGGUUAGUGCAAUGGCAUAAGCUAGCUUGACUGCGAGCGUGACGGCGCGAGCAGGUGCGAAAGCAGGUCAUAGUGAUCCGGUGGUUCUGAAUGGAAGGGCCAUCGCUCAACGGAUAAAAGGUACUCCGGGGAUAACAGGCUGAUACCGCCCAAGAGUUCAUAUCGACGGCGGUGUUUGGCACCUCGAUGUCGGCUCAUCACAUCCUGGGGCUGAAGUAGGUCCCAAGGGUAUGGCUGUUCGCCAUUUAAAGUGGUACGCGAGCUGGGUUUAGAACGUCGUGAGACAGUUCGGUCCCUAUCUGCCGUGGGCGCUGGAGAAUUGAGGGGGGCUGCUCCUAGUACGAGAGGACCGGAGUGGACGCAUCACUGGUGUUCGGGUUGUCAUGCCAAUGGCACUGCCCGGUAGCUAAAUGCGGAAGAGAUAAGUGCUGAAAGCAUCUAAGCACGAAACUUGCCCCGAGAUGAGUUCUCCCUGAGACUUUAAG